rnacentral:lncRNA from 1 species
CUUCUGCCAUCUUGUGAUGCAGCAAGAAGGCCCUCACCAGAUGCCAGUGCCAUGCUCUUAAGACUUCCCAUCCUCCAGAACUGAGGAAAGAGACAGGAAACGGAGGCCUGGCUGCCUGGGCUGUGACGUUGCCCCUCUGGCAUGCUGUCCGGGCCUGGAAAAAUGCAGCUGGCACUGCCUUGAGGAUUCGGAGCAGACAGGAGUUAUGUGGUUGCUUGGCCAACUCCCGAGUACAAUAAACUUAAUCUUGGAAGUCUUACUCUCGAGGGUGAGGAAAGGGUGAAAUGUCGGUAUGUAGACUCUGUCGCCAAGAAGCACAGGAGAAAUGAAAGAAGAAACAAAUCCCUUCAGUUAAAAUGCCAGUGGAAAAACACUUCUGAAAAACAAACACCGAGAAGCACAAUGUGUUUUUAUGUGCUUGAGAUUUUUUAAAAACGAGUUUUGGAAAAUAGUCUCUUGAUGUUUACAUAGUUCCCCGUGAAUAAAGGGCAACUGGGAAUUUGGACUGGCCUGGCUCUCAAGUAGGGGUCCGCAACCUGCAGCCCGAGGGCCCGUCGGUCGCUGCUGGCUUCUUUCUAUGAAUGCUGCCCUACUGAACACAGCCGCGCCCCUCCGUGACCUGUGCCUGCGGCUGCUCUCAUACUACCACGACAGAGCGGUGGGGGGCGUUGCAGCACUCACCUCACAGCACACAUACAUCAAAAUAGUUACUGUCUGAUCCUUUACAGAAAAAGUUGACUGAUCCUUGGUCUAAAACAGGAGAGGGAAGUACUCACUCACCUCAGUGCCCAUUUCAUGCAGAGCUGCAAGAGCUCUCUGCCCUACCACAGUGCGGCCACCUAAUUGUCUCUCCUUGGCAGAACACAUGCUUGGCUGGCGGCUGUGGGGAGGGCAAUCUGGCUAAAUAAUGCAUCAGCAGGGCUGCCUCUGUUCUUAGUUUUCCUGCAGACUUUGCUGGGUCAUGCAGCUAGGUUAGAUUUCAGAGGGUCCUGCAGAACCACACUGACUUCUAGUUCCCUGUCUCCUUGUCUGUAGGCCCUGUGAGUGCAGGGCAAGGCCAGCUCAUUUUUGCAUCUAAUUUGUACCAUAGAAUCGGUGCUGAAUAAAUGUUUUUUUUUUUUUUGAGACAGAGUUUCGCUCUUGUUGCCCAGGCUGGAGUGAAGUGGCACCAUCUGGACUCACUGAAACCUCCACCUCCCAGGUUCAAGCGAUUCUCCUGCCUCUGCCUCCCAAGUAGACAGGAUUACAGGCAUGCACUACCAUGCCUGGCUAAUUUUUGUAUUUUUAGUAGAGAUGGGGUUUUACCAUGUUGGCCAGGCUGGCCUCAAACUCCUAACCUCAGGUGAUCCACCCGCCUCAGCCUCCUAAAGUGCUAGGAUUACAGGCUGAGCCACUGUGCCUGGCCAUUAAAUGUGAUUUUAAAUAAUAAACAAGUGCACACACACUAGAUUACAUUUUCAGAAUUACCAAGUGAGUGGGAGUCUCAACCCCAUCUGUUGAGACCUUAUCCCACGCAGACUGUCCAGAACCUCAACCCAGCAGGGUUCGACCCAGAUAUGAGGGUUGCAGGGCAGCUACAAAGGUAGCCCCUCUUCAAGCCAAUAUACGUAUUUUUACAUUAGUCCACAUUAUUUAGUGGGAAGAAAUAAAUUUUCUUUUAGUAAAACUUGGUAAAAGAUAUAUCUUUUACCAUAUAUCAUACCAAGAUACCAUAUAUCUUCCUUUCCAUCAAGGGCUUUAUCAGCACGUUGAAUACAACAGAACAUCUCAACGUGCUGAGUUUGGAAUUGGCUUUCAGUUCACAGUUUUUCUAUCACUUGUGACUAGAUUAUGAUUCAGUCAUUCACACCAAGAAUUGAAAUAACAAUCUAAUUCAACAUUGAUUUAAUAAUUAUUAAUUGUUCUUCCUGGCCUUCAUUACCCUAAAAACAUGUUGCUGUUGUUGUUGUUUUUUUCUGGAGGCCUUAUUCUCUUGAGUUUUCUUUUGCAAUUUUCUGAACACAACAAUUUCUUGGUUACAUGUUAAAUACUUUGAAAUUUAUGCAAUAAAACAAAACCGCGCAGUCCCAGGAAACAUCCCUCUACAGCGCAUUACUUGGUUUCGGAAUCUCGUUGACCAUGGGGUCAGCUUCA